rnacentral:rRNA from 1 species
CGUAGGGGGCAAGCGUUGUCCGGAUUUAUUGGGCGUAAAGAGCGUGUAGGCGGCCAGAUAGGUCAGCUGUGAAAACUCGAGGCUCAACCUCGAGAUGUCGGCUGAAACCAUCUGGCUAGAGUCCGGAAGAGGAGAAUGGAAUUCCCGGUGUAGCGGUGAAAUGCGCAGAUAUCGGGAAGAACACCCGUGGCGAAGGCGGUUCUCUGGGACGGUACUGACGCUGAGACGCGAAAGCGUGGGGAGCGAACAGGAUUAGAUACCCUGGUAGUCCACACCGUAAACGAUGGGAACUAGGUGUGGGCGGUGUCGACUCCGUCCGUGCCGAAGCUAACGCAUUAAGUUCCCCGCCUGGGGAGUACGGCCGCAAGGCUA